AUUGAACGCUGACGGAAUGCUUUACACAUGCAAGUCGAACGGCAGCACGGACUUCGGUCUGGUGGCGAGUGGCGAACGGGUGAGUAAUGUAUCGGAACGUGCCCAGUCGUGGGGGAUAACGUAGUGAAAAUUACGCUAAUACCGCAUACGAUCUAUGGAUGAAAGCGGGGGAUCGCAAGACAUCGCGCGAUUGGAGCGGCCGAUAUCAGAUUAGGUAGUUGGUGGGGUAAAGGCCCACCAAGCCAACGAUCGGUAGCUGGUCUGAGAGGACGACCAGCCACACUGGAACUGAGACACGGUCCAGACUCCUACGGGAGGCAGCAGUGGGGAAUUUUGGACAAUGGGCGAAAGCCUGAUCCAGCCAUUCCGCGUGCAGGAUGAAGGCCCUCGGGUUGUAAACUGCUUUUGUACAGAACGAAAAGGUCUCUACUAAUACUAGGAGCUCAUGACGGUACUGUAAGAAUAAGCACCGGCUAACUACGUGCCAGCAGCCGCAGUAA
rnacentral:rRNA from 1 species